GUGCGCGCCAACUAGUCCCUUCAGGCCUCCCUAGGCCUGCGCCGCGGGUGGAGCCGCGGGCCGCAGUGUGGGAUCCUCCUGUCACCUGGAGACCUCUCGGCUGGGGUCCCGGAGAGGUCGAGGUGCCGUCUCUUUAGCUAAAACAGGUUUUAGCCGCCGCGUUUUUAAUAGUAUUUGCCACGAGUAUAAAGAAGGGAGCUUCACAAGCUAUUUUAUCCCCAAGACUACAUCAAGGGAAUGUGGCCCUGCCAGCACCUGGAUUUUGGCCCAGUGAAACUAAUUUGGGACUUCCGACCUAUAGAACUAGAGCGCACAAGCAGAGGGAGCGGCAGGCAGAGGGAG